rnacentral:siRNA from 1 species
GAGUUGCAUGAUGUCCACGUCAAC